AAAUCAUUCAAAUACCUGCCCUAUCAAGCUUCGAUGUGAGGGUAGUGUCCUCACAUGCUUUCGACGGGUAACGGGGAAUUAGGGUUCGACUCCGGAGAGGGAGCCUGAGAAAUGGCUACCACAUCCAAGGAAGGCAGCAGGCGCGCAAAUUACCCAAUCCCGACCGGGGAGGCAGUGACAAUAAAUACUGAUACAGGGCUCUUUUGGGUCUUGUAAUUGGAAUGAGUACAAUUUAAAUCCCUUAACGAGGAACAAUUGGAGGGCAAGUCUGGUACCAGCAGCCGCGGUAAUUCCAGCUCCAAUAGCGUAUAUUAAAGUUGUUGCAGUUAAAAAGCUCGUAGUUG
rnacentral:rRNA from 1 species